AGCAAGUCAUACUGAAAGUGGAGUCUGGACAAAAAAAAAACAAACGUUUAGCUAAAAUCAAAGUGAAUUUUGACGUGUGGUAUUUGGUAUUGUGUCUGUGGCAGGUGAAAUGACAAAUGACAAUAGUUGUGAUGACUCGUUAAAUACGAAAAUAGACGAUUACUUCAACAAAAAACAGUGUAUGUUUCUGUUCCUGCGUAAAACGGAAAUGCAUACCAGCAGCAGAAAAGGAUGUCUAACAGAUAAUGUCUUAAGCUACUUUGGUAACAAUAACUAAUAGAGGUGCAUUUCUUCGGACACAUAUUUGUCAACCCAUUACGAGUCAACUUGCAUCUAGCAUCUACUUUCUGUAUUACUGUUUCUACUUUGACGAGUAUGCAACAGCCAUGUAACAGAACAAUGUAUAGUUUGGUGCUUUUGACUGCAAGUCAGUUUGCGUGGCUGCAUAACCAUUCAGCAUUGGACUGAUAAACUUCCAUAGAGUUACUAUCACAAGACUUUCGUUGUGUUUGUUUUCAGCUGGCAAAGUCUUUCCACGAGUGCAACAAAAGUUUUUUCAUUGCAUAGUCAACAAAUUUGUGAAUGGUCCACAUCCUCUCCACAAAUUCCUUAGAAGGAAUAUUCAGUCCUCCACGGUCUAGUAUAGCAAUUGUUCAAGGUGUUCACAGCAUUUGCUUGGGAGUCGUGAAAAUCAUUGUGCCUCAGGCUUUCCAAGCACUCAACGCAAAUCUCCCGUUCACCGAUGGCUAACAGAAGAAAUCCUGAGGUCACAGCCGUUGCUAACUUGUUGUCACAUUCAUUCCCAAACCCGUUUAAAAUAAAUGCGUACCUGGUGGUCGUUUCAAUUCGUCCAACACUGCCAACUCUUCUGCGUUAAGGGACUUGAGGACGUCGAGAGCUCUUUUCUUCGGAACUUUUACGCCAGUUACUCGAUUCAUCUGGUUUUAUUGCAACCUCGUCGAGCGCGAGAUUUACAUGAAUCCCGCGGCCACCUCCAAGUUCUUCAAUUUUAGCAAGUAAUGCUUGUUUAAUGGCAUCAGUGAAUCCGACUUCCAUUGUGGAAGUGCCAACGUAGCUUCGCAGUGUUUUCGACGAUGUGUUAGCUGUCCGCAAAAGCUCUUCUUCAUUGUCUGUUUCUGGGGAUCCAAAAUCGUCGAUCUCGGAUUCCGACUCGCAGUCCUCAGACAACCCCACAUCGUAAUCGGAAUCUGAAGUUCGAUCCUCCCACGUACUGGUUUCGGAAUCGCAAUCCGACGAGCGAUCUGUAUCAUCCAAAUCGUCGCAAGCCCACGAAGUAACACCACGGCCAGAUGAGCAACUUGCGACUACGUCAUCUGCGGGCUCUGUGACGCCCGUGUCAUUCACAGCGACACCAACUGAAGAGGCCUCGACGUUCAGCGUAUGCGGUAAGUCAACUGUUACACCACAAUCUCUUUUAGUUAUAUCAUAAGGGUCGGCAUAGCUAUAUGAGUUAAAUGGCAAACCUUGAUGUGGAGCAACGGCGUUAUGUUCGUGAGUAACAACGUAAGAAACUCGCCUUUUCUUAUUUGGCGGCUGUUGACAAUUAUGUACUCCAGCUGCAGGAAUUCGAAUUUCAGUAGACACUUGAACAGAACCAAAAAAAACUGAGGGAACCGCAUUAGGUAGCAAUUGUUUUCUCUCUGAGAGCAAUCCGGCUUUAAAGCUGUCGGCACUGACAUGUUUGCCGCACUCUGCCAAGUUUUUUAAUCGUGAGUCUUUUCUUAGAUGUCUCAAUCCACUCCAGUCCUGUAUCACACUAAUCCAAAGUUCUCUUUUUUCAUUGUCAAAUGGCAAUUGAUGAAAUGUAGUUUUAAUAUUCCCUUUUCCGUAAACAGAGUCACAGCCACCAACUAUGCACCUUUGAGGCAUGAUUGCAACUGAGAACGGAUCCCAUUCUUUUAAUUUCAAUAAUUAAAUGUUAGCGCAUUAGACAUCAAAUGUUAUGUCAAUCUUUGUAUUUACGACAGCGUAGGGGGUGGGCUUAAAAAGGUUUAAAGACGAGAAAAAAAACAAAAGAUUUCAGCUGUCCAAUGCGUUUGAAUCGUUUAUUUUAGAACCGUCGAAAAUUAUGGUAAUCAGCAGUAAGGAAAGGUGACCAAAGUGUUUGUUUUGAAUCUUGCCACUUGCAGACCGAAACUCUUAAGAGCUUAGGGUACCUGGUUCAUAGAUGGCACCGGUGUUUUAACCUAUUUCAAAUUUUCCGUAAAGUAAUUUGAAAUAUCUCUAUAACCAUAAAUUUUUGGUAUAGGGACAUUAGGUAAAACAAUAACUAUUUUUAAAUUUCGAUUCCGAUUCUACCAGAAAAAAUUUUACAUGGCCGACAUAGGAAAGGCCGAAGAG